rnacentral:rRNA from 1 species
AAGACCUUGCGCUUUUGGAGCGGCCGAUGUCUGAUUAGCUAGUUGGUGGGGUAAUGGCCUACCAAAGCUUCGAUCAGUAGCUGGUCUGAGAGGACGGCCAGCCACACUGGGACUGAGACACGGCCCAGACUCCUACGGGAGGCAGCAGUGGGGAAUUUUGGACAAUGGGCGCAAGCCUGAUCCAGCCAUGCCGCGUGAGUGAAGAAGGCCUUCGGGUUGUAAAGCUCUUUCAGCCGGAAAGAAAAGGCUGCGACUAAUAAUCGCAGUUCAUGACGGUACCGGAAGAAGAAGCACCGGCUAACUACGUGCCAGCAGCCGCGGUAAUACGUAGGGUGCGAGCGUUAAUCGGAAUUACUGGGCGUAAAGGGUGCGCAGGCGGUUUUGUAAGUCAGAUGUGAAAUCCCCGGGCUUAACCUGGGAACU